AAAAGGACUUCGGUUUGCUUCGGGAUGGACUCGCGUCCAAUUAGCUAGUUGGUGAGGUAACGGCCCACCAAGGCGACGAUCGGUAGCCGGACUGAGAGGUUGAACGGCCACAUUGGGACUGAGACACGGCCCAGACUCCUACGGGAGGCAGCAGUGGGGAAUAUUGCACAAUGGGGGAAACCCUGAUGCAGCGACGCCGCGUGAGGGAUGACGGCCUUCGGGUUGUAAACCUCUUUCAGCAGGGACGAAGCGUGAGUGACGGUACCUGCAGAAGAAGCACCGGCCAACUACGUGCCAGCAGCCGCGGUAAUACGUAGGGUGCAAGCGUUAAUCGGAAUUACUGGGCGUAAAGCGCGCGUAGGCGGUUUGUUAAGUCGGAUGUGAAAGCCCCGGGCUCAACCUGGGAACUGCAUUUGGAACUGGUUCGCUAGAGUACAGUAGAGGGUGGUGGAAUUUCCAGUGUAGCGGUGAAAUGCGUAGAGAUCUGGAGGAAUACCGAUGGCGAAGGCAG
rnacentral:rRNA from 1 species